AUUGAACGCUGGCGGCAGGCCUAACACAUGCAAGUCGAGCGAGCGGCGGACGGGUGAGUACUGUCUGUGAAACUGCCUGAUGUAGGGGGAUAACUCCUGGAAACGGUAGCUAAUACCGCAUACCAUCAGAUGUGCCCCGAUGGGAUUCGCUAGUAGGUGGGGUAACGGCUCACCUAGGCGACGAUCCCUAGCUGGUCUGAGAGGAUGACCAGACACACUGGAACUGAGACACGGUCCAGACUCCUACGGGAGGCAGCAGUGGGGAAUAUUGCACAAUGGGCGCAAGUCUGAUGCAGCCAUGCCGCGUGUAUGAAGAAGGCCUUCGGGUUGUAAAGUACUUUCAGCGGGGAGGCGUUACCCGCAGAAGAAGCACCGGCUAACUCCGUGCCAGCAGCCGCGGUAAUUC
rnacentral:rRNA from 1 species